GCGAGCGGCGGAUGGGUGAGUAACACGUGGGGAACCUGCCCCUAAGUCUGGGAUACCAUUUGGAAACAGGUGCUAAUACCGGAUAAUAAAGCAGAUCGCAUGAUCAGCUUUUGAAAGGCGGCGUAAGCUGUCGCUAAGGGAUGGCCCCGCGGUGCAUUAGCUAGUUGGUAAGGUAACGGCUUACCAAGGCGACGAUGCAUAGCCGAGUUGAGAGACUGAUCGGCCACAUUGGGACUGAGACACGGCCCAAACUCCUACGGGAGGCAGCAGUAGGGAAUCUUCCACAAUGGACGCAAGUCUGAUGGAGCAACGCCGCGUGAGUGAAGAAGGUUUUCGGAUCGUAAAGCUCUGUUGUUGGUGAAGAAGGAUAGAGGUAGUAACUGGCCUUUAUUUGACGGUAAUCAACCAGAAAGUCACGGCUAACUACGUGCCAGCAGCCGCGGUAAUACGUAGGUGGCAAGCGUUGUCCGGAUUUAUUGGGCGUAAAGCGAGCGCAGGCGGAAAAAUAAGUCUAAUGUGAAAGCCCUCGGCUUAACCGAGGAACUGCAUCGGAAACUGUUUUUCUUGAGUGCAGAAGAGGAGAGUGGAACUCCAUGUGUAGCGGUGGAAUGCGUAGAUAUAUGGAAGAACACCAGUGGCGAAGGCGGCUCUCUGGUCUGCAACUGACGCUGAGGCUCGAAAGCAUGGGUAGCGAACAGGAUUAGAUACCCUGGUAGUCCAUGCCGUAAAC
rnacentral:rRNA from 1 species